CAGCUUGUUCUUGAUUGUUUGCUUGAGGGCAAGCAAAGACUAAGUUUGGGGGAGUUGAUAUGUCUAUAUUUUACCUGUUUUAAGCAACCAUUUAGCAUCACUUUAGCAUCGUUUCAUCAUUGUUUCAUACCAUUCUUCAUCAUUUGUCAUCACUUUACAUGUUUAGGAUAGUUUUGCAUGCAUACUGCAUAUUUGAGUUUUAAGCAACCAUUUAGCAUCACUUUAGCAUCGUUUCAUCAUUGUUUCAUACCAUUCUUCAUCAUUUGUCAUCACUUUACAUGUUUAGGAUAGUUUUGCAUGCAUACUGCAUAUUUGAGUUGUUUUCAGGUGCUUCGGAGCCACUUGUGAGCAGAUUGAGAGAAGCAGAGCCAAAUCAGACAGCACACUCGACCUACUCAGUCGAGCAUGAUCAGGGACAAAACAAGGAACCACUCGACCACGGUGAUCGAGUAGUGCUCUUCACCAAAUGACUCGAUCACCACUUCAACGCCACCACUCGACCACAUACUCGAUCACGAGGUCGAGUACCAUCAUCCUGGCCGCUGAAGCAGAUGCUCGACCACAACCUGCCACAACACUUGAUCGCAUCCUCUGUUGACAUACUCGAUCGUGUCAGUCGAGCAUUCCCCAGCAAGCCUCCCUCAGAUCACUCGAGCAGAUGCUCGAUCACCACCUCCACGCAGCCUCUUGAUCACAAGCUUCAGAGUCUUCUCAGAUCCCCACUCAACCAGACAUUGAGCAUAAGGAAGAGAAGAGGAUGAAGCAGAACGCGAGCACAUACUCGACCCAAAUGCUCGAUCACAACAUGCCCAGAGCAAGAAAAUCGCAAGGCGCCAACUUUAUUCAACCUCUCUACUCGAUCACAAGGGUCGAGUAUCUCCAUAAACCGCCCUAAUACUUUGUCGUCUUGUGAUUUAGGGUUUCCUAGUAUUUGCUAUAAAUAGGUUAUUUCUCAUAAUUUUCAGACUAAGUUAUUUUCUGCAGAACAAUUAGUGUUUCUUCAUCUUUGUAAUCCAGAUUUCUCUUAAUCUAUUGAGUUUUUGCUUUUGAUUUCUUCUACAAAGUUGUUCAUCUUGUUGAGAUCUUGCUAGUAUGAAGUUUUUAUGCAUUUCUGGGUUUAUGUUCAUGUUCAUGAGUUUUGAGUAGUGAUUAGGGUUCUUGAGGAUGGGUUAGAGUAGUUUGGAAUCCUUGAUCUGCUGGGUGGUUGAGUUUGAUUGGUAGAUCCCUUCUGGAUUAGUUGUUCUUAAUGCUGAUUGCUUUCUGAUCAACUGGAAUCUGAGCCCAGACAUUUCCGCACCCAAAAGGUGUUCGAUGAAAUGUCUGAACCACUAAUUCCAGAGAUUCGUGGCUCUGUACCAAGGUAUUGGUUACAGGGAGCGUUUUGGCUUAGACUUGUUGUUUCGUAAUGCCUGUUAGGUUAGCUCUCGUCAAUGGUGAUUGAGUCUGGGACUAGCUUUGCUUGAGGAUCUCUGUUGCGGUAGCACUUUGAUUUGGCUAUUGAACUUGUUGUCUAGGGAUAGUUUGUUGAGCAUGUUAACCACCUGUUAGAUUAAGGAGACUUCACUACUCGAUUACCCCAUCCUCAGGAAUUUCUCUUCCAUUUGAUUUCUUUGUUUACAUCGCUAUUAAUUGCUUGAUCUGGUUACUUGUUGCUCAGUUUUAUCAUUUCUAUCCUGUUUCAUUUGAAGUACUCGACCACACCCAGUAGUUUGGUAACAAACUGUGCAGUCGAGUACCCUGUUUACAGUUUCUGUUAAAUUACUCGACCUGAUACUCGACCACAUCCAGUGCUUGGCAUCAAGCUGUGUGAUCGAGUAUAUUGCCUGUUAUAGUUAGAAUUUAUGUUAUCUGCAUGAUCGCUAGAGCUGUUAACAACACCAAAACCUGUUAUUGCUUGGCUUGACUCUGUGAUAUCUGAUUGCAUCUUGAUUGCUAGCAUCACACCCAUUUGGAUUGACACCUUAAAUACUGCAAUGACAUGAUAGUACUUUAAGGAUAAUUGAUCUUAGUCAAAAUCCUACUAUCAAUUUGGCGCCGUUGCCAUUUGGGUGUUUGUUUGUUACAUUUGAGAUUUCAGACUUGCUUAGAUCAAGUUCUAUUUCAAUUUUCACUUAGGCUACUAACUUUGUGUUUUUCUUGUUGUCUUCUUGAUCCAGGUACAACCCUGCUGUAUGCAAACUCGAUCAAAAGGCAACCAGAACCUCCUUUUUAACGAUAACAUUGACCGUAUUGACAGAGAACUAAGGGAAAGGAGAGACACUACAGACCUUGAACACAACCAUCCUUUCAGAAUGGCUGAUGAACAAGAUGUCAACAAUCUGCCUGCAAACAUUGGUGCUGGAGAUGCACCAAGAAACCACCAUCAGAGGCAAGGAAUUGUGCCUCCUGCUGUCCAAAACAACAACUUCGAGAUUAAAAGUGGUCUCAUCUCGAUGAUUCAAGGAAACAAGUUCCAUGGUCUGCCUCUGGAAGAUCCCUUAGACCACUUGGAUAACUUCGAUAGGCUCUGCAGCCUAACCAAGAUAAACGGUGUUAGUGAGGACAGUUUCAAGCUGCGCCUGUUUCCCUUCUCACUGGGAGACAAAGCACACCAAUGGGAAAAGACGUUACCUGCUGGCUCCAUCACAUCUUGGGACGAUUGCAAGAAGGCCUUCUUAACAAAGUUCUUCUCAAAUUCAAGAACUGCACGGCUUAGGAAUGAAAUCUCCAGUUUUACCCAAAAGCAGUCUGAAUCCAUUUGUGAAGCCUGGGAGAGAUUCAAAGGCUACACUAUACAGUGUCCACACCAUGGUUUCAAGAAGGCUUCUCUACUAAGCACACUCUACAGGGGAGUUUUGCCCAAGAUCAGAAUGUUGCUGGACACUGCUUCUAAUGGGAAUUUCUUGAAUAAGGAUGUUGAAGAAGGCUGGGAAUUAAUUGAGAACUUAGCUCAAUCCGAUGGUAAUUAUAACGAGGAUUUUGAUCGCUCCAACAGAGGUAUUGGAGAAUCGGAUGCAAAGCAUAGUAAAGAGAUGAAAGCUCUUAAUGAGAAACUGGAUAGGCUUAUCCUUGGCCAGCAGAAGAAUGUGCACUUUCUACUUGAUGACGAGCAGUAUCAAGUCCAAGAUGGGGAGGGGAACCAGUUAGAAGAGGUCAGCUACAUCAACAAUCAAGGCGGCUACAAAGGGUAUAACAACUUCAAGACUAACAACCCCAACCUUUCUUACCGCAGCACCAACGUUGCUAAUCCACAGGAUCAAGUGUAUCCUCCACAACAACAGCCGGGUCAGAAUAAACCUUUUGUUCCCUACAACCAAGGUUUUGCUCCCAAGCAACAAUUUCAGGGGAACUACCAGCAGCAACCACCACCUGGGUUUGCAGCUCAGCAACACCAAGGUUCUGCUGCUCCUGAUUCUGACAUGAAGCAAAUGCUACAACAGAUUCUCCAAGGACAAGCAUCUGGCUCCAUGGAGAUUGCUAAGAAGAUUUCCGAAUUACACAAUAAGCUGGACUGUAGCUACAAUGACUUGAAUGUCAAAGUGGAGGCAUUGAAUUCUAAAGUCCGAUACUUGGAAGGACAAUCUGCAUCCACUUCUGCUCCAAAACCUACUGGCCAACUUCCAGGCAAAGCGAUUCAGAAUCCAAAAGACUAUGCUCAGGCUCAUGCUAUCACCCUGCGCAGUGGUAAAGAACUUCCAACCAGAGAGGGACCUAAGCCAGCCACUGAGGACAGUGCAGACCAAGAUGGGGAGGAUUUCAAUCUCAAUGAAGAUCAAGUUGACAAGCCAACAGAAGUACUCGACCCUCCACUCGACCAUGUUACUCGAUCACCAAUUCCAGUAACAUCACCUGCUGUUCUAAAACCAGUUGCUGCUAAGAACAAGGAGAAGGUUUUUGUUCCUCCUCCUUACAAACCCCCACUUCCAUUCCCUGGACGACACAAGAAAGCAUUGGCAGAAAAGUAUAGAGCUAUGUUUGCCAAGAACAUCAAAGAAGUUGAAUUAAGAAUACCUCUUGUUGAUGCUCUCGCGCUUAUUCCGGAUUCCCACAAGUUUUUGAAAGACCUGAUCAUGGAAAGAAUUCAAGAAGUGCAAGGAAUGGUAGUAUUGAGUCAUGAAUGCAGUGCUAUUAUUCAGAAGAAGAUCAUUCCAAAGAAGCUUGGUGAUCCUGGCUCAUUCACUCUACCGUGUUCAUUAGGUCCUUUAUCAUUCAACAGAUGCCUCUGCGAUCUAGGCGCAUCAGUGAGCCUCAUGCCCCUCUCAGUUGCGAAAAGACUUGGUUUCAGCAAAUACAAAGCUUGCAAUAUCUCUCUGAUUCUAGCAGACAGAUCCAUCAGAAUACCUCAUGGCCUGCUUGAAGACUUACCAAUCAAGAUCGGAGUCGUAGAGAUACCUACUGAUUUUGUAGUGCUUGAAAUGGAUGAAGAACCAAAGGACCCUCUGAUUCUGGGAAGACCUUUCUUGGCGACUGCUGGAGCUAUCAUUGAUGUCAAGAAGGGGAAGAUCGAUCUGAACCUUGGUAAAGACCUUAAAAUGACCUUUGAUAUAAAGGAUGCAAUGAAGAAGCCAACUAUAGAAGGGCAACUCUUUUGGAUUGAAGAAAUGGAUCAGUUAGCUGAUGAGUUACUAGAGGAACUAGCUGAAGAAGAUCACCUUAAGAGUGCUUUGACCAAGAAUGGUGAAGAAGGGUUUCUGCAUUUAGAAACUUUGGGUUACCAGAAGCUGUUGGACUCACACAAAGCAGUAGAAGAGUCAGAAUCCUUUGAGGAAUUGAAUGGGUCAGCAACAGAGGUAAUGGCAGUGAAUGACGAGGACUCAACUCAGGCUCAACCUGCUCACUCGAGGACUUACUCGACUGAACACUCGACCACUACAGUUGACAUCCCUGCGGAGCUGAUCAUUCCAACAUCAAACGACUGGUCUGAACUCAAGGCACCAAAAGUUGAACUUAAGCCGCUUCCCAAAGGACUCAGGUAUGCAUUUCUAGGUAAUAACUCUACAUAUCCUGUCAUUGUGAAUGAUGCAUUAACUGAUGAACAAGUGCAUCUUCUGUUAACUGAACUGAAAAAGUAUAGAAGAGCCAUUGGUUAUUCACUUGAUGAUAUAAAGGGCAUUUCACCUAGUUUAUGCACACAUCGCAUUCAUCUUGAAAAUGAAUCUUAUUCGAGCAUUGAACCCCAAAGAAGGUUGAAUCCUAAUUUAAAAGAAGUUGUAAAGAAAGAGAUACUUAAACUAUUGGAAGCAGGUGUAAUUUACCCUAUUUCCGAUAGCACUUGGGUAUCUCCAGUUCAUUGCGUUCCAAAGAAAGGAGGUAUGACUGUUGUAAAAAAUGAUAAAGAUGAGCUAAUACCCACUAGAACUAUAACUGGACAUAGAAUGUGCAUUGACUAUAGGAAGUUGAAUUCUGCAUCUAGGAAAGAUCAUUUUCCACUUCCAUUCAUCGAUCAAAUGCUAGAAAGGUUGGCUAAUCACCCAUAUUACUGCUUUCUUGAUGGUUAUAGUGGUUUCUUUCAAAUUUUGGUUCUGAGUCUCCACUUUCAAAAACUACAUUCACAUGUCCAUAUGGAACCUUGAGGGCAAGCAAGAGCUAAGUUUGGGGGAGUUGAUAUCUCUGUAUUUUACCUCUUUUUAGCACACAUUUCUUAUGCAUUUAGCUUAGUUUCCUCUCUGUUUCAUUGCAUUAAUAGUCCUUUUUCAUAAGAUUUUCAUCACUUAGUACGAUUUGCAUUGCAUGGCAUAGCAUGUUGCAUAUUGGAUGAGUUUUAGGUACUUUGGAGCUUAUUUGGGACUUGAUGGAGCAAGGAGGAACCAACACGACCUUGGAGCUAGACUUGGGAUCGAAUUGGAGAGGAAUGAAGUCGUUCAAGAUCACCCAGGAGCAGUCUCGACCUGCAGGCUCUACGACACGUCGAGUAGGACGCCAAGAAGCAGACUGGGAGCAGUCUCGACCUGCAGGCUCUACGACACGUCGAGUAGGACGCCAAGAAGCAGACUGGGAGCAGACUCGACCAGACAGACUCGAUGACACGUCGAGAUGGACGUCAAGGCGCCACCUUUGAAGAUCAGACGGUCUCGACGUGGCUGGCUCGACGUCACGUCGAGUUGGCCUCCACCGACUCUCUAUUUUGUCCUGUAGCCAAUUAGGGCAACCUAGUAUUUCCUAUAAAUAGGGGUACAUGCUAUUGUCCAGGGGAUAUUCUUAUUACCCAGCAGAUAUUCUUCUUUUCUCUCAUAAACCCUAGUUUUUGUAAUCGUUUUUCCUGUUGAUCCUUUGAGUUUUUGGAUUUCGUUUCUUCAUCAAAGUUGUAGAUCUCCCUCUUAUCUAUAACAUACUUGCUUUUUAAUGAUUUCUGGGUUUGAAACGUUUUCUGGGUUUUUAUGCAUGAUGUUCUUCAGUGUUCUUGAGUAGUGGAUUAGGGUUCUUGAGGAUGGGAUAGAUUAGGUGUGGAAUCCUUAGUAUAUUUAGGUGGUUAAGUGUAGAAUUGCUUGAUUUCCCUUCUGGUUUAGUAGAUCUUAAUGCUAUUUCCUCUCUGAUCAAUUGGAAGUUGAUCUCAGAUAUUUCCACACCCAAAAGGUGUUUGAUGAAAUGUCUGAACCAACUAUUCCAGAGAUUUGCAUACUCUAGCCCAAGAGAUUGGAUGUUUAGAAUGCUUAUUGACUUUAUUAGAUUGAAUCAUAAUGCCUGCUAGGUUAUAUUUCUUCAAUGAGAAUUGAGUAUGAAAGUGAUUUAGCUUGAGAAUCUCUGUCACGAGAGUGGAUUGAUUUGUAUUCGAAUCUAUUGUCUAGGGAUAGCUUGAUUGAGUUUGUUAACCACCUAGGUAGGCUAAGGAGACUGCCAUAAUCGAUUACCCCAUUCCUCAGGACCCUUCAUCUCUAUUGAUAGUUUAAAUCUUGUUUCUGUUAGUCUCUGUUGCUUAGCUCGACCUGCUAGGCCUAGAUCGUUUCUCUGCAUUGUUAGGUUGCUAGUUUCUUUUCCAAAGCUUAUGCAUGAUAGUUUCUGGUCUUUAGCUUACUUCUUGUUCUUGUUUACUUGCUGUUUAGUUCUCUUUUGCAAGCUUUUAAAUUCAGUAUUUGCAUGUUAAUUUGGUUGCUUAGGAUCAAUAGAAACACACAAAACCCUUUCAUAAUUGGCUUGACUUAUCUGCUUUCUGUUUCAUAUCUUGAAUGAUUGCAGUCACACUAAGAUUGGAUUGAUAACCUAAUAUACUACAAUGGCAUGUGUAUUAGGGAUUGAUACUUGUUAGAUAGAGUAAAAUCUCAUUAUCACUCUGUAAUGCACCAGCUACAUUUCAGCGGUGCAUGACUUCUAUCUUCUCGGAUUUAAUUGAGGAGAUGGUUGAGGUAUUCAUGGAUGACUUUUCCGUGUAUGGCUCCUCCUUCUCCUCUUGUUUGUCAAACUUGUGCAGGGUACUUUCUAGGUGUGAAGAGACGAACUUGGUACUCAACUUGGAAAAAUGCCAUUUCAUGGUCAAAGAAGGCAUUGUAUUGGGGCACAAGAUUUCAGAGAGGGGUAUAGAGGUUGACAGAGCAAAGAUUGAGGUUAUGGUGCAACUGCAACCACCAAAGAGUGUCAAGGACGUGAGAAGUUUUCUGGGACAUGCUGGGUUUUAUAGAAGGUUUAUCAAGGAUUUCUCCAAGCUGGCAAGACCAAUGACAAGGCUGCUGUGUAAGGAAAUAGAGUUUGAUUUUGAUGAGGAAUGCCUGAAAGCUUUUCAACUCAUCAAGGAAGCUCUGAUUUCAGCUCCAAUAGUCCAAGCUCCAAACUGGGACUAUCCAUUCGAAAUCAUGUGUGACGCCUCAGAUUACGCUGUAGGAGCAGUCUUGGGACAAAAGAUUGACAAGAAGCUCCAUGUCAUCUAUUACGCAAGUAGAACAAUGGAUGAUGCUCAGGUGAAGUACGCCACGACAGAGAAGGAGUUAUUGGCAGUUGUUUUUGCGUUUGAAAAGUUCAUAAGCUACUUGGUGGGUUCUAAAGUCAUAGUCUACACAGAUCAUGCAGCCUUGAGACACAUUUAUGCAAAGAAGGACACUAAGCCAAGACUAUUGAGAUGGAUACUACUUCUGCAAGAGUUUGACAUGGAAAUAGUAGACAAGAAGGGUAUAGAGAACGGUGUAGCUGAUCACUUAUCAAGGAUGAGGAUCGAUGAUGAAGUCCCUAUUGAUGAUUCGAUGCCAGAGGAGCAACUCAUGGUUACAGAAUUCUUUGGAAAGAAUUACAGUGGGAAUGAGUUUCACCAACUGAAUGCUGUUGAAAGAAAAUCUCCAUGGUAUGCUGAUCAUGUCAAUUACUUGGCCUGCGGAGUAGAGCCUCCCAACCUGACCAGUUAUGAAAAGAAGAAGUUUUUCAGAGAUAUCAACCACUACUACUGGGAUGAGCCAUAUCUUUACACUCUCUGUAAAGACAAAAUUUACAGAAGAUGUAUCUCAGAGGAGGAAGUAGAAGACAUCCUGCUUCACUGCCAUGGUUCAACAUAUGGUGGUCACUUUGCGACUUUUAAGACAGUAUCUAAGGUACUGCAAGCAGGCUUCUGGUGGCCAACCAUGUUCAAAGACGCCCAACAGUUCAUAUCAAGAUGUGACUCAUGCCAAAGGAAGGGAAACAUCAGCAGAAGAAAUGAAAUGCCACAAAAUCCUAUACUAGAGGUAGAAAUCUUUGACGUCUGGGGAAUCGACUUUAUGGGGCCGUUCCCUUCUUCCUAUGGGAACAAAUACAUCUUGGUAGCAGUAGACUACGUGUCCAAGUGGGUUGAGGCCAUUGCAAGUCCGACAAAUGACUCAAGGGUGGUUCUGAAGAUGUUUAAAACCAUAAUUUUCCCUAGAUUUGGUAUACCAAGGGUCGUCAUCAGUGAUGGAGGUACACACUUCAUCAACAAAGUCUUUGAGAACUUAUUGAAGAAACACGGAGUGAAGCAUAAGGUAGCCACUCCUUAUCAUCCACAGACAAGUGGUCAGGUUGAGAUCUCCAACAGGGAGAUAAAAGCAAUUCUGGAGAAAACUGUUGGGACUACAAGGAAAGACUGGUCUGCAAAGCUAGAUGAUGCACUAUGGGCUUACAGGACAGCAUUCAAAACCCCUAUUGGUACAACUCCCUUCAACCUUCUCUAUGGAAAAUCCUGUCACUUACCUGUUGAGCUCGAGUACAAGGCUAUGUGGGCUGUGAAGCUUCUGAAUUACGACAUCAAAACUGCUGGAGAGAAGAGGUUGAUCCAGCUGAAUGAUCUCAAUGAAGUUAGGUUGGAAGCUUAUGAAAGCUCUAAAAUCUACAAAGAGAGGACUAAGCUUUUCCAUGAUAAGAAGAUCAUCACCAAGGACUUCCAAGUUGGUGAUCAAGUGCUGCUAUUCAACUCUCGCCUAAAACUCUUUCCAGGAAAGCUAAAGUCUAGAUGGUCUGGUCCCUUCUGUGUUACUGAAGUCCGCCCUUAUGGAGCAGUCACUCUAGCUGGUAAGAGUGGAGAUUUUACAGUAAAUGGCCAAAGACUCAAGAAAUACUUAGCAGAUCAAAUCCUUCCAGAGGUGACCUCGGUUCAUCUCCAGGACCCUCUUGAUGUUUAAGGGAGUAAGGAAGUCAAGCUAAUGACUUAAAACGAGCUCACUUGGGAGGAAGUCCCAUGACUAUCUCUGUAAAUAAUUUUUCUUUCUUGUUAUUUUUGAUUUGUUUUGGUAGUGUUUGUGGUUCUCAGGAAUGGAGGAUCAAUCUGGAGAUAGAGUAAAAAUUUAAAUUUUUUUACUCCACCAUGGACCUUGAGAUCGAGUAUAUUAGCCCAGUGGAGUCCAAAAAUUUGAAAAUCUUUUGUUGCACCUGGAGACCCCGCCAUCGAGUAGGAGAGUCGAGCAUGCGUGUUUUUGAUCACAAAAAUCCCCAUUCAUCAUCACCUACUCGAUCACAAGGAGAACAAGACGAUGAGAGUGCAACAGAGCACCCUACCAGUGGAGAUCGAGUAUAAUGGUCAGUUUGGUGCAAAUUUGAUUGUCUUGGAGCUGAAGAGGUAGAAGAAGGAUCAAGCGAUUAAAACAAGUUUGGAGGUACAGUAAUCACUCUAAUGAGUUGCGAUUCUGCUAAUGGUGAUUAAAGAGAUUCCCCAUUUGAGUCAAUGGAGGCGUCCCAUCAUGUCUCCUACAUCCCAUCUUGUCUCCCACCAAGCUAAAGCCACCAACUUAACCACUUCCUUUCCCCACGUUUUUAAUGAGAACUCCAUCCUCAAUGGACGGAGAAGAAGAACAUCUCAAUGGACGAGUACUGUGAGUUCUUCAGGCGUCAUCACUUUGUCGGGACUAGGUACCCGCAUCCAGGAACGAUGAUGGAGCUCGGUAUCUAUGAAGACAUCGAGUAUCUCUGUGCGCAAACCAGUCUAUUCACCCUCCUGAACCGUCCCUACAGAGCUUACAAGGAGGAAACAAUCCAGUUUCUCUCCUCCUUCAAGUUGAGAUCUUUUCCGAGCCAUCGAGUAGGAGAGUCGAGCAUGCCGUGUUUUUUGAUCACAAAAAUCCCCAUUCAUCAUCACCUACUCGAUCACCAAGGAGAACAAGACGAUGAGAGUGCAACAGAGCACCCUACCAGUGGAGAUCGAGUAUAAUGGUCAGUUUGGUGCAAAUUUGAUUGUCUUGGAGCUGAAGAGGUAGAAGAAGGAUCAAGCGAUUAAAACAAGUUUGGAGGUACAGUAAUCACUCUAAUGAGUUGCGAUUCUGCUAAUGGUGAUUAAAGAGAUUCCCCAUUUGAGUCAAUGGAGGCGUCCCAUCAUGUCUCCUACAUCCCAUCUUGUCUCCCACCAAGCUAAAGCCACCAACUUAACCACUUCCUUUCCCCACGUUUUUAAUGAGAACUCCAUCCUCAAUGGACGGAGAAGAAGAACAUCUCAAUGGACGAGUACUGUGAGUUCUUCAGGCGUCAUCACUUUGUCGGGACUAGGUACCCGCAUCCAGGAACGAUGAUGGAGCUCGGUAUCUAUGAAGACAUCGAGUAUCUCUGUGCGCAAACCAGUCUAUUCACCCUCCUGAACCGUCCCUACAGAGCUUACAAGGAGGAAACAAUCCAGUUUCUCUCCUCCUUCCAAGUUGAGAUCUUUUCCGAGAAGAAGAAGAAGAGGGAAAGAAACUACGGGCUCGGCUACAUAACCUUCACUAUCCAUGACCAAGACUACAUCAUCACCAUGAAGCAGCUGGAAUCUCUCUUUGAGUUUCAGAGCGGAGUUGGCACUGGCCACCGUGUUGACAGAAAAGAGAUAGUUGGUCUCUAGGAGACGAUUGGAGAUGAUGUCAAGUUCUUCUCUUCCCAUUCCAAGAGCAACGCCAUCAGGAGCCCAGUCCUCCGCUACUUCCACCGCAGCCUUGCUAGUGUUCUAUUCGCAAGGGAGGCAACUGGCACAAUCAUCAACGGAGAGAUGGAAGUGUUGGUGAUGGCACUGCAGGAAACCCUGGGCAUAACCAAAGACAAUACCGUGUUAAUGGGUGACAAGUCAAACACUUCUGCUGUUUUCUUCUUACUUGGCCACUUGUGGAGCUACAAAUCAUGGGCAGUUGCGAAUGCCAAGAAAACUACUAAAGGAAAGUUGUGUAUGGGUGGGCUGAUAACACCCAUAUUGAUGGCAUGUGGAGUACCCUUGGAAUCACAGGAAGUCCUUCCUAAGUGGCUUGACAUCGAGCAUUUGAGGAAAACUACCUCUUUGGCUUGGGGGAUGAUAGAUGAAAGGUAUGCCUGGAUAUUUGACCUUCCAGAAGCAGAAGGGGCGAAGUUUCUCCUCCCUCACCAGGCAUACACCACGAUCACGGACAUAAGCAAUAUUGACUUCAAACCACCUGCUCAAAUGCUCUAUGGCGUGAGUGAAGUCAUUCAACCUGCUGAAGAAGAAGGAGCCAACGCUGAAGAAAACAAAGCUGAGGAAGAAGAAGCGGACCCAGAUAUAGAGGAGUAUAACACCAGGAGGUUCCACUUCGCUGAGCAUAUCUCGCCAUCAAGGGAGAGCAAGAGUCUCGCUGAGAGCCAUGAGAAGAUCAGUAAGCUCCAAGCCUGGUGCAAGUUCCAGGACAAGUUCAUUGGUAAGUGCUUCAAGAUGUGCACAUCCAUACAGAAGAAGUUGAACCGCUCCUCUACUAGCACUACUGCACCAAGGGUCGACCCUCCUGAAGAGAUAUACUCCAGACGUUAUGAUUCAGAUGCACCAAGGGACUCAACCUUAGCACCGGUUCAAGACGUCUACGAAGUGCCCAGGCAAUCCACCUAUGAACCAAGGGAAGCAGACACUCCCCACGCACCAGCAAGACAUUCUUCUCACGAACCUAGAGAGCACAGAAGAAGAAAGAAGCAAGCACCGGUUCGCUCCAGCAGCAAGGCGAGGCUCCUCAAUGCUAGGCGACCACUCAACCGCCAUACUGACCGCCAAGCUGACCCUGAGAUCGAGCACCAUGCACCUGAGGAGGAAGAGCAACAACAAGGUCCCAACAUUCCAUGGGAAUACACCAGAGAGGAGAUGGAUGACUACAUCUCCAGGACCUUCAACUGAGGUACCACACUCAACCACCAUUGUUUAUACCAUCUCUUGAUUUCUUUCUUUAUUUGUUUGUCCUGAGUACUCUCUUCCAAGUUUGAUCACACAGAGGACUGUGUGAUUCAAGUUUGGGGGAGGGCUCAGGAAGUGUUUGUUAUCUAAUGAAGUUUGUUCUGUUCUUAUUUCAAAUUUUUACAUCAUAUAGUCUGCAUUGCAUCUAAAGCAUAGAAAAAACCAAAAAAAAUUUGAAAAAUUACUGAAAAUGAUUUCAUAAAAAGAGUGUUCAUGUAGUUUGCAUUGUCAUGUAGGAUUGUUUAGUAUGCAAUCACUUAGGACUGUUGCAUCAUGAAGUUUGCAUUGGGGAUUAUGAUGAUAUUGCCUUGUAGAAAUUCUGGUUUAAGAUUGAACUUAAAGCCCUUGAGCAUAGUUGACUGCUGCUUGAUCAUCUGUGAAAAAAUGAAAAUUCCAUGCUUAGACUUCUGUAUGAUUUGAAAGCAAUUUCUACUUGUGUGAUGCUUACAUGAUCUCUGAAACAUCUCUAUGAAUUUGGACUUAAAACUGAUUUAAUUCUCUCGCUUAUGGUAUCUAAAUGCAUCCUCAUGGUUGUCUAUAUGACUCAUUCGGGUUUUCUUCUCCAUUUUGCCAAUCUAUUGUGAACCCGAAUGACCAUUCUCAUCUUUAGAAUGGCUCCCCUACCCUUAACCUUAACCUUUUCUUUGAAACCUAUGAUUUGAUUGUGUGUGAGGCCUUUUUGUUUGAUAAUGCAAUAGGUUGUGAAACUUUGAGAGUAUCGAGAACAACAAGGCUUUAACUCUUGCUUUAGACUAGACUCCUGAACUUCAUUAAGGAUAGCUAAUAGGUUGGGAAUGAAAAGGCAUAAGUGGUUAGAACAAUAUAUGGGGUUGGUCAGUGGGUUUGAGAGAAAGAAAAGGGAAUGAAAAAGAAAGGUUGAUCACUAAGUGUUUUAAAAGAGUCCCUAGGGAAUGAAAGUCAUAAGUAAAAGCUCUAAGCCUCUAAAAUAAGAGAAGUGAAUAAGUUAGUUCCCCAAACAGAAAAGAAAAGUCUCAAAGUUAUACAAGUAUUGGGAACAAAGAAAAGUCUAAGAAAAGUUUAAAGAAAGAGCUAAGUGUUUAAAAGGAUUCCCUAGGUGGCUAGUAAAAGAAAGAUGAUCUUAUGGGUUGUGUUUUAAAGAGAGACCAAAUGGUCUAAGUGGUUUCUGGGAAAAGAGAGAAUGAUAAGAUUGAGUUAAGGGUAGAUACUAGAGAUUACAUCUAAGAUGGGUAGAGCAGCAAGAGUUGAACUUUGUAGCAUAAACUGUUCUUGGUCUUAGAUAAAUUUCAUGACUGUCUUGCAUUCCUUGUUUCUGAGAGAAAGCCACCAAAAAAAUAAAACACUUGAAACCUCCCUCAAAAGCCUUUGUCCCUAAGCCGAUUGAGUUUGAUUCAUUUACCAUCUGCGAGACUGCACCAAACACUAAUGAAUGUUAAAGAGUUGUUUCAGCUUGAUUGUGAGUUUUCGCUAAUAGCUAGAAGUUGAACUAGGAUCAUGCAUUAACAUAAGUAUGGAGAAGUACGAAAGAGUAUAUUGUUUGAUCCUUGCAGCUUUGAAUUAUUCUCAAGGACUUUAAGUUGAAUCUUUCAUCUGAUGCUUAACUUGGUUCUGAACCCCCACCUUCAAACCUCUCCUCCAGCUUGUUCUUGAUUGUUUGCUUGAGGGCAAGCAAAGACUAAGUUUGGGGGAGUUGAUAUGUCUAUAUUUUACCUGUUUUAAGCAACCAUUUAGCAUCACUUUAGCAUCGUUUCAUCAUUGUUUCAUACCAUUCUUCAUCAUUUGUCAUCACUUUACAUGUUUAGGAUAGUUUUGCAUGCAUACUGCAUAUUUGAGUUGUUUUCAGGUGCUUCGGAGCCACUUGUGAGCAGAUUGAGAGAAGCAGAGCCAAAUCAGACAGCACACUCGACCUACUCAGUCGAGCAUGAUCAGGGACAAAACAAGGAACCACUCGACCACGGUGAUCGAGUAGAUCAGCUCCACCGCUUCUCAAGCGCUCGACCAUGCUCUUCACCAAAUGACUCGAUCACCACUUCAACGCCACCACUCGACCACAUACUCGAUCACGAGGUCGAGUACCAUCAUCCUGGCCGCUGAAGCAGAUGCUCGACCACAACCUGCCACAACACUUGAUCGCAUCCUCUGUUGACAUACUCGAUCGUGUCAGUCGAGCAUUCCCCAGCAAGCCUCCCUCAGAUCACUCGAGCAGAUGCUCGAUCACCACCUCCACGCAGCCUCUUGAUCACAAGCUUCAGAGUCUUCUCAGAUCUCCACUCAACCAGACAUUGAGCAUAAGGAAGAGAAGAGGAUGAAGCAGAACGCGAGCACAUACUCGACCCAAAUGCUCGAUCACAACAUGCCCAGAGCAAGAAAAUCGCAAGGCGCCAACUUUAUUCAACCUCUCUACUCGAUCACAAGGGUCGAGUAUCUCCGUAAACCGCCCUAAUACUUUGUCGUCUUGUGAUUUAGGGUUUCCUAGUAUUUGCUAUAAAUAGGUUGUUUCUCAUAAUUUUCAGACUAAGUUAUUUUCUGCAGAACAAUUAGUGUUUCUUCAUCUUUGUAAUCCAG
rnacentral:lncRNA from 1 species